UCCUCCCCCCCCCCCCACUCCGCGCCUUCAGAACUCGCCGCUGGCCUGCGAGUGACGACCGAGCAGCACCUGCAGCGCAACGUCCUGGAGCGGUUGCUACACCGCGGCCGUUAGCGCUGUUGGGCCAACCGGAGAUGCUGUCGUCAAGCACAUCUGCUUUGGGGCUGGAACUACCACUGUAUUUGGCCUCUUAAAAAAAUAAUUUGUGACAAAUCUGCAAAAAGAAAUACACUUACCCUAGAAGGAUAUCUGGUGUAUGGCCAGAUAAUGACAGCUUCAGAACUCUAGCACCACAGCUACUGUCUGGAAAUUACCAGAAUCAAGAAGCUGCCACUUCCACAGCCAGCUCCAGAAUUUCACCAUACUAACUGUAAUCUGAACCAGCACAAUGGAUGUACCACCCAUGCUUCCUGAUGUUCACAAAGAUUAAGAGAACUGAAGAUAGCUAUAAUCAACUUACAUAUCACCAAGUCAACUCUUCUGUUGAAGAUUUGCAGUGAGAAAAGAAAGUGCUAAUAAGCAUAUUAUCUCAACCUAAAAGAAAAGUCCUAAGACGGCUUCAGCUGUUCCGCUAGUGACACCAAAAUGGCCACAGGAAGGGAGAAGAAAGAAAAGUUUGAAUGAAGUAUGAUUCCAUUAUGAUGCUAUUGAGCACAUCUGUAAUGUGAGCAUUCACAAUCCCUCCAUGAUAAGAUGGCCCUUUUUUCCCCUGAACUGUCGAAGACUGAGAUCUGUUGCCUGGUUUAAAACAACCUAUAAUAUGAGCUUAGAAAGCAGACAUGCGGCCUGGAGAUGCAAUAGCCAGUUGGUGACGUGAGGGGACAAGCAUGAGAACAAAAGUUCAUAAGCUAAGGAAGGUUGAGAAGGAAGAUUGAGAGUCUUGCUCCUUGUCAGCAUUUCUCAGCAGCUGUACUAAUGCUGGACACUCAGCUCUGGAUUUCUUAUUUUGUAAGAAAAAGAAAACUCUUUUUUAUUAACACUAUUACUCACUGUUGCAGACAGGUAUCUUGUUAUCUUGUUACUUGCAACCAAAAGCACUUUUGUUUGUUUGUUUGUUUGUUUUGUUUUGGUUUUUUUUUUUUGAUUUUUAGGGCCA